rnacentral:rRNA from 1 species
UACGUAGGGUGCGAGCGUUGAUCGGAAUUACUGGGCGUAAAGCGUGCGCAGGCGGUUCUUUGUGUCUGAUGUGAAAGCCCCGGGCUCAACCUGGGAAUGGCGAUGGAGACUGCAAGGCUAGAGUUUGGCAGAGGGGGGUAGAAUUCCACGUGUAGCAGUGAAAUGCGUAGAGAUGUGGAGGAACACCGAUGGCGAAGGCAGCCCCCUGGGUCAAAACUGACGCUCAUGCACGAAAGCGUGGGGAGCAAACAGG